rnacentral:rRNA from 1 species
AUUGAACGCUGGCGGCGUGCCUAAUACAUGCAAGUCGAACGGGGAAAGCUUUCGGGUGAGUACUAGUGGCGCACGGGUGAGUAACGCGUGGAUAAUCUGCCUUAGAGUGGGGGAUAACUAGUCGAAAGAUUAGCUAAUACCGCAUAAGACCACAAGAACUGCGGUUCAAGGGGUCAAAGGUUUUUCGCUCUAAGAUGAGUCCGCGUAAGAUUAGCGAGUUGGUAGGGUAACGGCCUACCAAGGCGACGAUCUUUAACUGGUCUGAGAGGAUGAUCAGUCACACUGGAACUGAGACACGGUCCAGACUCCUACGGGAGGCAGCAGUAGGAAAUAUUGCACAAUGGAGGAAACUCUGAUGCAGCGACGCCGCGUGAGUGAUGAAGGCCUUCGGGUCGUAAAGCUCUGUCGCAGGGGAAUAACACAAUGAAGGUACCCUGUAAGAAAGGAUCGGCUAACUUCGUGCCAGCAGCCGCGGUAACAC